UUUCCCAGGUCUAUAUUGAUGGACAUUUCCCAAGUCUACCUUGAUAUCCCUCAAGAUAUCUUGAUGGACAUUCCCCAAGUCUAUCUUGAUGGACAUUUCCCAGGUCCACCUUGAUGGACCUUUCACAGGUAUACCUUGAUGGACAUUUCCCAGGUCUAUCUUGAUGGACAUUUCCCAAGUCUACCUUGAUGGACAUUUCCCAUUUUGGGAAAUCUCAGGUCUAUCUGGAUGGACAUUUCCCAAGUCUACCUUGAUGGACAUUUCCCAUUUUGGGAAAUCUCAGGUCUACCUUGAUGGACAUUUCCCAAGUCUACCUUGAUGGACAUUUCCCAUUUUGGGAAAUCUCAGGUCUAUCUUGAUGGACAUCUCCCAAGUCUAUUUUGAUGGACAUUUCCCAAGUCUACCUUGAUGGACAUUUCCCAAGCCUAAUUGAUGGACAUUUCCCAAGUCUAUCUUGACGGACAUUUCCCAUUUUGGGAAAUCUCAGGUCUAUCUUGAUGGACAUCUCCCAUUUUGGGAAAUCUCAGGUCUACCUUGAUGGACAUUUCCCAAGUCUAUCUUGAUGGACAUUUACCAGGUCUAUCUUGAUGGACAUUUCCCAAGUCUAUCUUGAUGGACAUUUCCCAUAUUGGGAAAUCUCAGGUCUAUCUUGAUGGACAUUUCCCAAGUCUAUUUUGAUGGACAUUUCCCAGGUCUAUCUUGAUGGACAUUUCCCAUUUUGGGAAAUCUCAGGUCUACCUUGAUGGACAUGUCCCAGGUCUAUCUUGAUGGACAUUUCCCAUUUUGGGAAAUCUCAGGUCUAUCUUGAUGGACAUUUCCCAAGUCUAUCUUUUGGACAUUUCCCAAGUCUACCUUGAUGGACAUUUCCCAUUUUGGGAAAUCUCAGGUCUAUCUUGAUGGACAUUUCCCAAGUCUAUUUUGAUGGACAUUUCCCAGGUCCACCUUGAUGGACAUUUCCCAAGUCUAAUUGAUGGACAUUUCCCAGGUCUAUCUCGAUGGACAUUUCCCAGGUCCACCUUGAUGGACAUUUCCCAAGUCUAUCUUGACGGACAUUUCCCAUUUUGGGAAAUCUCAGGUCUACUUUGAUGGACAUUUCCCAAGUUGGACCAUGUUGGAAACUUCACCUUCUCUCCUCCUUCCCUUCUAGGAAUGAGAAGAACAUCUCUAUGGUCCCUGGAGGUCUCUUCCUUCUCCUAAUAAAUAGAUUCAGAAACUGCAA